rnacentral:rRNA from 1 species
UCCGUAGGUGAACCUGCGGAAGGAUCAGUCUCGAAUAAGUCUGAUUCCGGCUGAGCGGCUUUCUGCUGCUCGCCGGGUGGGCCCUCUGGGCUUUCACACCCCUUCUUGUGACCUCGGUCACGUUAAAUGGAGUGAGAGGUUACCCUCCACCCUGCUGUCGAGACGUUCGUUUCGGGUCUCGGCAGUGUGUGCCCCCACCGAACAUGCAUAAAUAUAUGGGGCAGGCCUCUGGCCAGAUGUACUUCACAACUAUCGAGAUAAUACAGUUUUAUACAACUGGUAGCGUCGGAUCCCUCGGCAUGGCUAUCGAUGAAGAGCGCGGCCAGCUGCGAAAUGUGAUGUGAAUUGCAACUCAAAGCGGUUAUCGUGAAUCAUUGACUACUUGAACGCAUUGCACCGCCCUCUCGGGAGUGGUACGUCCGAUUGAGUGUCAUAAUCCAUUCAGGCCCCUUGGUUCCAGUCGUUCGCUCGGCAACUGUCUGUGUGCUGCAAGCUGUCCUCUAUGGGCGGCGGAUGUGCAAAGACAUGGUUCUACUGUGGCUCUGGCUUCGAGGCUUCAUGGCGAUCUAUCGUCACGGGCCUUUAGAUGUAUUAGCGGUCGUCCUUGUUCAUACAAGUUUGACUCCACGUGAUGAGAUCAUGUCGUGGAGGAGUGCCUGGCACGCUUGUGGAUCUGGAGCUGCUGCGAACUCGCCCUUGGGCAACAACCUGCCUUCAUUGGUGGAUUUUAUGACAUUGGCCUCAGUCGGAUGGGAUUACCCGCUUGAUUUAAGCAUAUUAUUCAGCGGAGGAAAAGAAACUAACAAGGAUUCCCCCAGUAACGGCGAGUGAAGAGGGAAGAGCUCAAAGUGUGAAUCUGGCAGG